GCACUUGCCGUCUCCGAGCGAGAGAUGCUGAUGCCGCUGAGGUAGCCUGGAGGCUGAUGAUGCGUCGUCUUUGAACGAUAAAAAAACGAUCCUUCGAUCGUGUACACGUAUCGGCAGAAAUAUACAUAUCCGAAUAUGUGAUAAAUGUACCUACUUGGAUCUCUCGGAAUGUACGGAAUGUAAUAUAAGAAAAAAGUGUGGAGAUCUCAGUAAAAGGAUUUUCUAUCGUAAUACGCGAGACUGAGAAAUAUUCCAGCCAAUGCUCGGUCGAUCCUUAGAGCACCUUUUCCACAAGAUCCUACCGACGUGAGAGAAUUGACCGUAACGGCAUGUAUACAUCAAUAUAUGGAUUAUGUAUUUAUCUCGAUAUAUAGAAUACACUUUGCAAUCUGGGUUAAAUAGACGAUGAGUCUUGGUCGUUUGGAGAGGCUCGCGCGGCACUUUGGAAUGACGGA